UUCGGAAUCUUCAAGUGUAGAUAUUCAAUAUCCAGCCUAUAUUUUAGGAAAUACCCAGCCAUAUUUUGAUUCUUUCCGCCCUCCAGAGUAUCAAAACUAUCUUUUACCUCAUUAUUCUCGUUCUCCUCUCGACGAUUCAGGAGUAAUAAAUAGUUUUUCUUCAAACUUUAAACCAUUUGCGACGGAUUACAAUCAAGCUAGUCACGUAAAUUCUCAAAAUCCAUCACAAAUUAAUCCCUACUUGGAACAACCGGCCGGCGAAGUUUUUGAAUCCUCUCACGUUGUUGUUAAAGAAAUUGCUCAGCAGUUUGAUUUGGACUCGUUGAACGCUGAAGAUACUUUUCAAUUGAUGCUAGAAAUGAAGAAUCUCCUUUCUGAAAAUGAAGCUGUCGCGCGACAAGUUUUAUUGCAUAAUGAAAAAUUUUCAAGACAAUUAGCGAAUAUUCUCGGCGUAAUGAAUAUUAUUGAUGAAGAAAUCGUGC